rnacentral:rRNA from 1 species
GACGAACGCNGGCGGCGUGCCUAAUACAUGCAAGUAGAACGCUAAAGGAGGAGCUUGCUCUUCNGGNUGAGUUGCGAACGGGUGAGUAACGCGUAGGUAACCUGCCUGGUAGCGGGGGAUAACUAUUGGAAACGAUAGCUAAUACCGCAUAAGAGUAGAUGUUGCAUGACAUUUGCUUAAAAGGUGCAAUUGCAUCACUACCAGAUGGACCUGCGUUGUAUUAGCUAGUUGGUGAGGUAACGGCUCACCAAGGCGACGAUACAUAGCCGACCUGAGAGGGUGAUCGGCCACACUGGGACUGAGACACGGCCCAGACUCCUACGGGAGGCAGCAGUAGGGAAUCUUCGGCAAUGGACGGAAGUCUGACCGAGCAACGCCGCGUGAGUGAAGAAGGUUUUCGGAUCGUAAAGCUCUGUNGUAAGAGAAGAACGANGUGUGAGAGNGGAAANUCACAC